AGAGUUUGAUCAUGGCUCAGAUUGAACGCUGGCGGCAGGCCUAACACAUGCAAGUCGAGCGGUAGAGAGGUGCUUGCACCUCUUGAGAGCGGCGGACGGGUGAGUAAUACCUAGGAAUCUGCCUGGUAGUGGGGGAUAACGUUCGGAAACGGACGCUAAUACCGCAUACGUCCUACGGGAGAAAGCAGGGGACCUUCGGGCCUUGCGCUAUCAGAUGAGCCUAGGUCGGAUUAGCUAGUUGGUGAGGUAAUGGCUCACCAAGGCUACGAUCCGUAACUGGUCUGAGAGGAUGAUCAGUCACACUGGAACUGAGACACGGUCCAGACUCCUACGGGAGGCAGCAGUGGGGAAUAUUGGACAAUGGGCGAAAGCCUGAUCCAGCCAUGCCGCGUGUGUGAAGAAGGUCUUCGGAUUGUAAAGCACUUUAAGUUGGGAGGAAGGGCAUUAACCUAAUACGUUAGUGUUUUGACGUUACCGACAGAAUAAGCACCGGCUAACUCUGUGCCAGCAGCCGCGGUAAUACAGAGGGUGCAAGCGUUAAUCGGAAUUACUGGGCGUAAAGCGCGCGUAGGUGGUUUGUUAAGUUGAAUGUGAAAUCCCCCGGGCUCAACCUGGGAACUGCAUCCAAAACUGGCAAGCUAGAGAUGUAGAAGGGGGGGGGGGGAAAUUUCCUGGGUGUACGGGUGAAAUGCGUAAAAUAUAGGAAGGGAACACCAGUGUGGCGAAUGCGACCACCUGGACUGAUACUGACACUGAUGUGCGAAAGCCGUGGGGAGCAAACAGGAUUAGAUACCCCUGGUAGUCCACG
rnacentral:rRNA from 1 species